GUGCUUCAGCAGAACAGAUACUAAAAUUGGGACAAUACAGAGAAGAUUAACCUGGGCCCUGUGCAAAGAUGACAUGCAAAUUCUGAGGCAUUCCAUAUUUUU
ensembl:snRNA U6 U6 spliceosomal RNA